AUUGAACGCUGGCGGCAGGCUUAACACAUGCAAGUCGAGCGGGGGAAGGUAGCUUGCUACCGGACCUAGCGGCGGACGGGUGAGUAAUGCUUAGGAAUCUGCCUAUUAGUGGGGGACAACAUCUCGAAAGGGAUGCUAAUACCGCAUACGUCCUACGGGAGAAAGCAGGGGAUCUUUGGACCUUGCGCUAAUAGAUGAGCCUAAGUCGGAUUAGCUAGUUGGUGGGGUAAAGGCCUACCAAGGCGACGAUCUGUAGCGGGUCUGAGAGGAUGAUCCGCCACACUGGGACUGAGACACGGCCCAGACUCCUACGGGAGGCAGCAGUGGGGAACAUUGGACAAUGGGGGGAACCCUGAUCCAGCCAUGCCGCGUGUGUGAAGAAGGCCUUAUGGUUGUAAAGCACUUUAAGCGAGGAGGAGGCUAUUUUAGUUAAUACCUAGAGAUAGUGGACGUUACUCGCAGAAUAAGCACCGGCUAACUCUGUGCCAGCCGCCGCCGUAA
rnacentral:rRNA from 1 species